UUCUAGUUUCAGAGGUUCCAGUUCCAUUGUAUCUUGCUGAGAUGGGAGCCACAAGACAGGAAAAUGAAAGCAGAAGUGAGGAGGAGAAUUGGAAAUUCACAGUAAUGAGUGUCUCUCUGAAGCUGCAGUGGUUGUUGAGAGGUUAAGAGGGAAUUGAAGGCUAUAAAGCACACACACAACUACAGUAUUGAUUCUAAACUCAUGAAGGCAAGGGACAUCUGUUAUCUAAACUUUAUGUCUCUUCUAACUCCAAACACAGUGCUGUGGCACAACUGACAUUUAAGGCAGCAAUGUAACAUUAUGGACAACUUCCAAUGACAGAACAUUUUAGAUGAGAAACAAGACUUACAUCAAGACAAACAAGAUCCUAACCAUAUUGUCCUGUGGACUUUUUCAUGCCUUUGCAGUAAAUAAGGGGGUUUGUUUCAUCCAAAGAAACUCCUUGUAACCUGGUUUCAUCUGCAUUUGUAGGAAAACUGGCAUCAUUCUGGGUAUUGCUUCCUUGCAAAAGCACCAUGCCAUUCGGCAGCAACCUUGAGCUAUAUUUGGAUACAGGAAAUUAGCAAUUACAAGGUAUUCUCUCUGUCAAAAGUCACAAUUAUUUUGUUCUGUGAAGAAAUCAGUCAUAUAAAAUCCUUUGUAGUAGUUUGAAUAGUGCAAGCUCUAUAUACCAAAAAGGAGCAUGGAGCUUAGCUGGAUGUAUUUUCAAGUGUAACAUUGUUCUUAUGAAUAAUAAAAUUUAAAAGAUUUAUUUCUA